GUCCUGGCCGUAAACGAUGGGCACUAGGUGUGGGAGGUAUCGACCCCUUCCGUGCCGCAGCUAACGCAUUAAGUGCCCCGCCUGGGGAGUACGGCCGCAAGGUUGAAACUCAAAGGAAUUGACGGGGGCCCGCACAAGCGGUGGAGCAUGUGGUUCAAUUCGACGCAACGCGAAGAACCUUACCGAGGCUUGAACUGCAGAGGACGGCCCUAGAAAUAGGGAUUUCCCGCAAGGGACUUCUGUAGAGGUGCUGCAUGGCUGUCGU
rnacentral:rRNA from 1 species